CCUACGGGCGGCAGCAGUGAGGAAUAUUGGUCAAUGGACGAGAGUCUGAACCAGCCAAGUAGCGUGAAGGAUGACUGCCCUAUGGGUUGUAAACUUCUUUUAUAUGGGAAUAAAAUGUUCCACGUGUGGGAUUUUGUAUGUACCAUAUGAAUAAGGAUCGGCUAACUCCGUGCCAGCAGCCGCGGUAAUACGGAGGAUCCGAGCGUUAUCCGGAUUUAUUGGGUUUAAAGGGAGCGUAGGUGGAUUGUUAAGUCAGUUGUGAAAUUUUGCGGCUCAACCGUAAAAUUGCAGUUGAAACUGGCAGUCUUGAGUACAGUAGAGGUGGGCGGAAUUCGUGGUGUAGCGGUGAAAUGCUUAGAUAUCACGAAGAACUCCGAUUGCGAAGGCAGCUCACUGGACUGCAACUGACACUGAGGCUCGAAAGUGUGGGUAUCAAACAGGAUUAGAUACCCCUGUAGUC
rnacentral:rRNA from 1 species